AGAUUGAACGCUGGCGGAAUGCUUUACACAUGCAAGUCGAACGGCAGCACGGGGGCAACCCUGGUGGCGAGUGGCGAACGGGUGAGUAAUACAUCGGAACGUGCCCAGUCGUGGGGGAUAACGUACGGCGAAAGCGUAGCUAAUACCGCAUACGAUCUACGGAUGAAAGCGGGGGACUCGCAAGUAGCCUCGCGCGAUUGGAGCGGCCGAUGGCUAGAUUAGGUAGUUGGUAGGGUAAAGCUCACCAAGCCGUGCGAUCUGUAGCUGGUCUGAGAGGACGACCAGCCACACUGGGACUGACGACACGGCCAGACUCCGUACGGGAGCAGCAGGUGGGGUAAUUUGGACAAGUGGGCGACAAGCCU
rnacentral:rRNA from 1 species